UACGUAGGGUGCGAGCGUUGUCCGGAAUUAUUGGGCGUAAAGGGCUCGUAGGCGGUUUGUCGCGUCGGGAGUGAAAACCCAGGGCUUAACCCUGGGCUGGCUUCCGAUACGGGCAGACUAGAGGUAUGCAGGGGAGAACGGAAUUCCUGGUGUAGCGGUGAAAUGCGCAGAUAUCAGGAGGAACACCGGUGGCGAAGGCGCCGCUCUGGGCCGAAACUGACGCUGAGGAGCGAAAGCAUGGGUAGCAAACGGG
rnacentral:rRNA from 1 species